CGCGUGGCGGCGUGCCUAAUACAUGCAAGUCGAACGCUUUUUCUUUCACCGGAGCUUGCUCCACCGAAAGAAAAAGAGUGGCGAACGGGUGAGUAACACGUGGGUAACCUGCCCAUCAGAAGGGGAUAACACUUGGAAACAGGUGCUAAUACCGUAUAACACUAUUUUCCGCAUGGAAGAAAGUUGAAAGGCGCUUUUGCGUCACUGAUGGAUGGACCCGCGGUGCAUUAGCUAGUUGGUGAGGUAACGGCUCACCAAGGCAACGAUGCAUAGCCGACCUGAGAGGGUGAUCGGCCACACUGGGACUGAGACACGGCCCAGACUCCUACGGGAGGCAGCAGUAGGGAAUCUUCGGCAAUGGACGAAAGUCUGACCGAGCAACGCCGCGUGAGUGAAGAAGGUUUUCGGAUCGUAAAACUCUGUUGUUAGAGAAGAACAAGGAUGAGAGUAAAAUGUUCAUCCCUUGACGGUAUCUAACCAGAAAGCCACGGCUAACUACGUGCCAGCAGCCGCGGUAAUACGUAGGUGGCAAGCGUUGUCCGGAUUUAUUGGGCGUAAAGCGAGCGCAGGCGGUUUCUUAAGUCUGAUGUGAAAGCCCCCGGCUCAACCGGGGAGGGUCAUUGGAAACUGGGAGACUUGAGUGCAGAAGAGGAGAGUGGAAUUCCAUGUGUAGCGGUGAAAUGCGUAGAUAUAUGGAGGAACACC
rnacentral:rRNA from 1 species